UACGUCCAUAUCAAGUUGAAACACCGGUUCCCAUAAAAUCAGCGAAGGUAAGCAACGUCGAAUCUAGUCACUACUUAGAUGGGUGAACGCCUGGGAAUGCCAGGUACUGUAAG